AGAGUUUGAUCCUGGCUCAGGAUGAACGCUAGCGGCAGGCUUAACACAUGCAAGUCGAGGGGCAGCGCGGGAUAGCAAUAUCCUGGCGGCGACCGGCGGAAGGGUGCGUAACGCGUGAGCGACAUGCCCGUUGCCCGGGGACAACCGGUGGAAACGCCGACUAAUCCCCGAUGGGAUACGAUGCUUCAUGGCAUUGUAUUGAAAGUUACGGCGGCGACGGAUUGGCUCGCGUCCGAUUAGCUUGUUGGCGGGGUAACGGCCCACCAAGGCUACGAUCGGUAGGGGUUCUGAGAGGAAGGCCCCCCACAAUGGGACUGAGACACGGCCCAUACUCCUACGGGAGGCAGCAGUGAGGAAUAUUGGUCAAUGGGCGGAAGCCUGAACCAGCCAUGCCGCGUGCGGGAAGGAGGCCCUAUGGGCUGUGAACCGCUUUUGCCUGGGGGCAAUAAGGGCGUCGCGCACGCCCGAUGAGAGUACCAGGCGAAUAAGCAUCGGCUAACUCCGUGCCAGCAGCCGCGGUAAUACGGGGGAUGCGAGCGUUAUCCGGAUUCAUUGGGUUUAAAGGGUGCGUAGGCUGUGCGUCAAGUCGGGGGUGAAAUUCCGGUGCUCAACACCGGGGCUGCCCUUGAUACUGUCGCGCUGGAGUGCGGAUGCCGCCGGAGGAAUGAGUGGUGUAGCGGUGAAAUGCUUAGAUAUCACUCAGAACACCGAUUGCGAAGGCAUCUGGCGAAUCCGUAACUGACGCUGAGGCACGAAAGCGUGGGGAUAGAACAGGAUUAGAUACCCUGGUAUUCCACGCCGUAAACGAUGAUGGCUAACCGCCGGCGACACACUGUCGGUGGCCAAGCGAAAGCGAUAAGCCAUCCACCUGGGGAGUACGUCGGCAACGAUGAAACUCAAAGGAAUUGACGGGGGCCCGCACAAGCGGAGGAACAUGUG
rnacentral:rRNA from 1 species